UGGGGAAUAUUGCGCAAUGGGGGGAACCCUGACGCAGCCAUGCCGCGUGAAUGAAGAAGGCCUUCGGGUUGUAAAGUUCUUUCGGUAUUGAGGAAGGUUGAUGUGUUAAUAGCACAUCAAAUUGACGUUAAAUACAGAAGAAGCACCGGCUAACUCCGUGCCAGCAACCGCGGUAAUACGGAGGGUGCGAGCGUUAAUCGGAAUAACUGGGCGUAAAGGGCACGCAGGCGGUUAUUUAAGUGAGGUGUGAAAGCCCCGGGCUUAACCUGGGAAUUGCAUUUCAGACUGGGUAACUAGAGUACUUUAGGGAGGGGUAGAAUUCCACGUGUAGCGGUGAAAUGCGUAGAGAUGUGGAGGAAUACCGAAGGCGAAGGCAGCCCCUUGGGAAUGUACUGACGCUCAUGUGCGAAAGCGUGGGGAGCAAACAGGAUUAGAUACCCUGGUAGUCCACGCUGUAAACGCUGUCGAUUUGGGGGUUGGGGUUUAACUCUGGCGCCCGUAGCUAACGUGAUAAAUCGACCGCCUGGGGAGUACGGCCGCAAGGUUA
rnacentral:rRNA from 1 species